CCUACGGGUGGCAGCAGUCGAGAAUCAUUCACAAUGGGGGAAACCCUGAUGCUGCGACGCCGCGUGGGGGAAUGAAGGUCUUCGGAUGGUAAACCCCUGUCAUGGGGGAGCAAAUUAAAAAGAUAGUACCACAAGAGGAAGAGACGGCUAACUCUGUGCCAGCAGCCGCGGUAAUACAGAGGUAUCAAGCGUUGUUCGGAAUCACUGGGCGUAAAGCGUGCGUAGGCUGUUUCGUAAGUCGUGUGUGAAAGGCGCGGGCUCAACCCGCGGACUGCACAUGAUACUGCGAGACUAGAGUAAUGGAGGGGGAACCGGAAUUCUCGGUGUAGCAGUGAAAUGCGUAGAUAUCGAGAGGAACACUCGUGGCGAAGGCGGGUUCCUGGACAUUAACUGACGCUGAGGCACGAAGGCCAGGGGAGCGAAAGGGAUUAGAUACCCCAGUAGUC
rnacentral:rRNA from 1 species